rnacentral:rRNA from 1 species
GACGAACGCUGGCGGCGUGCUUAACACAUGCAAGUCGAGCGGUAAGGCCCUUUCGGGGGUACACGAGCGGCGAACGGGUGAGUAACACGUGGGUGACCUGCCUUUAGCUCUGGGAUAAGCCUGGGAAACUGGGUCUAAUACCGGAUACGACUCCGCGGUGCAUGCUGUGGGGUGGAAAGCCUUGUGCGGCUGGAGAUGGGCCCGCGGCCUAUCAGCUUGUUGGUGGGGUGAUGGCCUACCAAGGCGACGACGGGUAGCCGGCCUGAGAGGGCGACCGGCCACACUGGGACUGAGACACGGCCCAGACUCCUACGGGAGGCAGCAGUGGGGAAUCUUGCGCAAUGGGCGAAAGCCUGACGCAGCGACG